AAGUUAUCUCCAGGAAAGGUCAAAGCAGUAGUUGACCCUGUUCUGCUCUAUUACAACUCAUGCAGAUCCUAUGUGCUCUCACUGUCUGGCAAGGACCAAUACACCACAACAUGGAUAAGGCAGUGACUACUGCUUUGCAGUAUGGAAGCACAGUAUGCAUCACUGCUGGUUGCCCAUAAAAUAUAAGAUUAUGAAAAACAUUGUUACACAGGCUAAACAUUUUUUCUGAAACAUCUCAGUGAAAAGUAG
rnacentral:lncRNA from 1 species